CUAGUCCCUGGCAUGGUGGCCUUUCAUGGAGCGUCUAUCCUGUGUCGGCGGGGCCAUGGGCUGUGCAUGCAUUACCCCAUCAACCUCAACAAAGUAGGUGCCACGAUCCCUGUCUUACAGACAAUGAAACAAAGGCUCAAAGCAUUUGUCACCUGCCCAGGGUUACUCAGUUAGUAAAUGACAGCUCUAGGUUCAAACCCAGCCCCAUCUGACUCCGGGUCCAUGCUGCUUCCACAGGGACUCGCCUUCUGUCUCCUGCCUGAAGGUGAAUGUGCUGACCGAGGGCACCGUCUCAGUGCCUGUGUGCACGUGUGCACACGCCACACCCAUCAGCAAAGAUCCCACUGGGCCCCUGCCUCUGACAUCCUGCGGGCGGACAGCCUGUCCCCACAAGGUAUCAAACCCUAGAGCUAAAGAGCCAAGUCUUCUGAUCUUGUCCUGAACACCCCUGUGUCUGUUUCCAAUGCAUUCUCUCUCUCUUUUUUAACAGUUCUCAUCACACUGCAUUGUACUCAUCUGCUUAUGAGUCUGUGAGUUCCUCGAGGGCAGGAGCCCCAUCUAAUUGACUUCGAUAUCCUAGCACCGAGUCUCGUUCCCAGCACAAAGUGGAUGUUCAAUACAUAUUUAUUGAAAUUGUGUCUUGAAAGCCUAGGCUCAAGUGAUCCUCUUGCCUCAGCCUCCCGAAUAGCUGGGACUACAGCCACCGUGUCUGGCCUUAUUGAAAUUAUGUAAGCUAUGACUGUUUGUUUGUAUUUCUGUAUACUCUAAUGCACUGUGAACUCCUCACAACAAGACCAAUAGUACUCACUUCUCUGUGCUCUGUCCCUAGCGUGGUGCUGGGAAAUGUUUGCUAAAUGAACAAAUGUAAGCAUGCUAUCUCUCAUUCACCACGUGGGUGGGGCCAUGGCGGCACUGCAGCGACCCACAGGCUGUGUUUUUGCCUCCUGUUGUUGGUGUGGUUUCCCGACCCAGGGCUUUUUAGG
rnacentral:lncRNA from 10 species